UAACCUUUAAAGAAAGGGCUUAUCAACACACAUGACUAAUAGGAAGGAGAAAAAUAAUAUUAUCAAGAAGCAAACUGGCAUUUACCCCAUUAACAGAACACAGAACAAUGGAAUAAAUCAGCCUGACACAGCAGUAACAGCAUUUUUCUUUCUCAUUUUCACCGGGGGCCACAUCACAAUAAAGUUCCCCUUAAGGGGCCGGUUGAACUGUAAGACCGUCGAGCUGUCACUACUCUAUAUCAUAAUAAUAGUUUUCUGCAAUCUAUUAUUUGUUCAAUUUACAAAUACUACACAUUGCUCUGUGUAAAUCGGCCUUAAAUUAAACCUUAACUUUGAGUCUUCUUUGUAGGUUCUCAGUAUUCAGCUAUAGUCUGGUUGGUUUUGGAAACUACAGUAUGUGUGACUGACUGUAAUGCCAACAGCAACAUGACAUGACAAAAGUGUGACACCAUGUGCAAGGGCUUCUACUGGACAUCUCUCUUGCCGAGUACAUGCUGUGUCUAAUCAAUUCUGCUUACCUAACCUUGUAUUAUCGUAUUUUCCUAUAAGAUCUCUAGGUGUUGGGGCAGUUUUAAAACAUUCACUGCAGUACAUCUGUAUGUCACUCACUUAUGUGAGAAGCAGCAGAUAGCCUCCCUGCCCCCCACCAGGGGUUUUUCAGACACCCCUGAUUUAGCAUGUCUAAUUGAAUAGCAGGGCCCAAUAUUAUUAGACUAAAGUGAGCAGUAAAAGUCCAAUAAAAAUAAAAAAAACUGCUCACAUUACACCAGCGGUCGGUCUUUGUAAAUGUUCUACCUGCUGUUAGGACGGGCUGAGGCCACCCCUCCUCCUCCUCUUCCCUUCUGCUCCACAAACACCACCUUCAGUCCUGCUAUAUGUGACUCGUGUGUUUGUAUGACUUCAGCAGGGCUGAGGUUGCAGCGAGCUGAAACCACCAGCGUUGUGGCCAUGAUGACUUAGAAUCUGAGGCUAUUUAUACCCUCCUUCUGCCCCCCUUAGCUCAGGGAAACUUGAUGCUGGUCUUUCCCACCAAGGAGGAGAGAGGGAGGAAAAGAGAGAUGAAGAAGAAAAAAGAGAAAGAGGUAAACACAGGCUGAAGUUUGCAGAGGAAGCUCUGUGCUGGUUUCCUGCAUGACUGUCUACACAGGCAGCAUCUUGUGUGUUUGUGAGUAUGAAGACUUUUCCUGUUUGCUCUGUAAGGCCUGUUGUCAACAGUAACUCUGGUUGAACGCGUAUCAUAAUCAACAACUGCAGCAGUAAAGACAAGUCAACACAAAUAAUACCCAAUCACAUCAUUAAUCUGUACAGAAAGGGAAUAACCUUAGAUAUGCGUAACAUUAUUCAUGUGUGGCCUAAAGCAGAGGUCAAAGAGGUCAGAUUUUCCAGAUGUUUCCUAUUAUCCUGCAGCACAGACAAGACCUUCUGGUCACACUCCUCUCAGGGAAGAACGAAGGUCAGAAGCUGGCGUUUUGGUCACACAAUUCCCUGGUUGUCUUUCAUAGAACAGGAACCACCAUGACGCAGGGUCAGUGUGGUCAACAAGCUCCAGCAGCAUUUUUAAAAAUGGGAAAACUCCCAUUUUUAUGGUUUUAUAAGGAAAAUCCCUGCAGCCUUCCGGUCAUGAUUGUCCUGACCACAUCCUUGUCGUAGAUAUCCUAGACUUUGGGCAUCAAGAAAACAGAAAUCUGCUUUUCCUGCACAGGUCUGAAGAAAAUCCCAGCUCAUCCAUGUCACUAUGAAUUCCCAAACAUGGGACCGAAGGUUUAAAAAAAUUAUUAUUCAUUAGCAUAAACUUUUAAAUGACAAUAGGAAUAUUUUCAUUGAAAAGCCAAAGGCACAGGAGAGGUCAGCAGAUUCAGAGAUGCGAUGUGAUAGCAGUGAGAAAAACGAAACCUCUAAUCCUUCUUUUCAACCCUCCAUCCCCCUUCUCACCUCUGCUCUUCCUCCAACCCUCCGUACACACUUCCCAUCUGCACGUUAGAUGAACUGGUUGGCAGUGGUUAUAGCUAGAGGAUGAAUGACAUGCAAUGCAAAUGCUGGGAUGCCCAAGUGGGAUAACUGCAGUGUGUGUGUGUGGCAGUUGUUGAAAUGAAUGAGGAACGCUUCACUUGUUUAUAACAGGAAUGGGGUUUUUUCUUUCAUUUUUUUGCCCCCUAAUGAGAAGCACCUACAACAUUUCAGAGGAGGAAAAGCUAAUAUUAGCAUUUUAUGUCAUGUUAAGAUUUAAAGCAGUUGCUUUAUUGCUCUUUGAAGGCAGUACCACAAUAUUGUGCUACACUUGAGAUCAGUUAAACUGGAGUAUACAGGGAAUUAGGUGUGGACACUGAAGAGCUACAGCUUUACAGAGCUGUUAAAACUUAAUAGCUUAAUUGCUGUAAAUGCACUCUCAAUAAGGUGUAAGGACUCCAUUCACUCUGUCAGUUGUUAGCCAUUAGCAACCAAGCAAGCAAUGGGCAAUUCAACUGGAAACUUUAUCAUUCUACUGAAACAGUUCAUGAAGGCAACAUCUGCUACAUCUGGGGAAAGCUGCAGAAUUGGCCUUCAGGGAGAAUGUUUAAAAGAAGCACGCUCAUCAAAGACACGGUCACCAAACCUUAAAGUCGAUGCAAAGGAAUCAGCUGACUGGUAAAAACAUUAGACAGAGACAGCAGUUUGUUGGCCUGAAAUACAUUGCAUGCAUUUAAACAGACAUUUUGCCACUUGGACAAAAGGAGUGAAGGUAUGUAAAAGAAACACAGGUGCUUUCAGAUGAGACAGAAGCUGAAAAGCUGCUCAUAAAAACACAGUGUACUCAUAUAAGGACGUCCUCUGGACGUACACAGUGAACUGUCAAUAUGACAUAAUGUCCAGACGGCCCUGCUGCUUUUAAAGUCUGCAGGCUUCAUUUUUCUUGGCUUCUUGCUGUUUCUUUUCCUAAGUUACUGCUAUUUCUGUUCCCCAUCUACAUGCUAACUCACAAACCAAACAAACUCAUCAAGCUGUCAAAGAAUAUUCUGGGAAAUGUAUGACCUCUUUAACUACAAACUGGACGAUGUGGUCCAAAAGAGUGUAUACUCCAGGGCAAAGGGGGGAAGACGUCACUUAUUACCAGAAAUGAAUGAGUCUUUUCUUUGGCCACUUCAUUACACAUCACUGCUGAAGCGGCUUCACACCCAGGAACCAUCUCAGCCAAUUACCUCUCGCACACUGAACAAAUCGAUAUCUUUACUGGAACCAUAUGUUCUAAACUCCCACUGUCAGACUUUUCCUUAUCAAACACCACUGUGAGCUGCACGGUGACAAUGCUCGGACUCCCACUGAGGAAGGGGAGCUCAGCUGGACCCUGGAUGUCAAGCAUUUGCUGCAGAUUUGCUGAGGAUUAGCUGUGGUGCUUGGAUCGGAUGGGUCUCCUCAUUCUGACUACUGUUUUGAUUUGAAAGUCCAAAUAUACCAUUACCAAUCAGAGCCACCAAGUUGUAAUACAAUAACAGGCUCCACAUAGGCAUUCAGCGGAGCUCAUAUGCAUGCAAACCAUAUGCUAUCACUUCCAGGGGCACAUAAGUACAGAGUACAGAGCAGCAUGCUUUGGCAUCCAGGCUUGUUACCACAGUGAUGUAUGUCUCCAUAUGUAAAUGUGAGUCAUAAUGAGGGCAACGCAUUCCAGCAUGGAGGGAAACACUUGUCAGCAAGAUUGUAUGAAAACAACAAGAUGUCAGUUUAAAGCCAAAAUACGGACUCAUUUUAUAGACAUGGGAGUUUCUAUGGAGAGCCAGCAUUGAUCAUUUAAAAAUAGACCCAACCCCUGAGUAGUAAAAUUAGUAAAUAUAAGUUUUAAACAGUUUUGUGGGAAUGGGUCAGCUUGUGUAUUUGAUUUCAGAGUUUCUGGGGAAGAGGUCAAAUUUGUACCACACCAAAAUAAAGUUCUGUGUCAUCUAGCAGUGGUGAAUUCCUGAGAGCACUACAGCCUAAAGUGCUAUAGUCAAAAGAAUUAAUUAUGCUAAAAACACUAUACAAAAAAUAAAAACAACAUAAAAAACCAGCAGAUAAUUGUGACCAAAAUGACUGAUGCAUCAUUUAGAAACUGCCCUAUAUUUGCUAAAUAGUAGCUAAAUGUUAUCUGAACCAUUAUGUUACAUAUAAUGGGGGGGGGGGGGGGGGGUUGAUUUCCCUCAGUGAUGUCCAUUAAUUAAUUAAAAAAUACAUAAUUAAUUAAAGGAGUUGCCAAUCGCCAUAGACGCAUCUCAGUGCCAAAACAGAGAUUCUGCUGAGUAUCCCCACAAAGUCCAAAAACUUUAACAUGGCUAGGGGAAACUGUCAGCUAUUAAUAGAAUAAUGGGAUUGAAUUGAAGUUUUCCACACAAAUGACUACAUUCAUGCAUUCAUUCACAACGUGGCUUCAAUCAGAAGAUGGAAAGUGCAAAAUGAGGGGAGUAGAGGGGGUCUUGGUGCAGGACUGUGGCACUGACAGCUUUCAGAUGUCCACAGGAAAGAGCUUCCAGACUUCUCUGAUAAAUCAGUGGGGCUUUGUCUUUAUCAUUAUGCCAGAACUGGGGGGAUGUCAAAAGCAUUUCCCUCUGCUGCCUGCUCUGUCUUGUAACAGAAGAUAAGAAGCCUUGGCUGCUUUUGCACGACCCAAAAUGAAAGGAGUGUCAUAUAUAAUGGCUCCAAAAACUUUCACAAAGUCACAAACACUAAACAGACCAAAAGAGGGGUUUCAAUAAAAGAGGACAUCAGUGUUAACGUCAGGCUGCACAAACAAACACAAGAAGAGAAUCCUUAAGUACACAAAAGUGACACUAGAUGUCUGUCAAGAUGGACAGAAUUUUUCAGGAACCUUGAACAAGUUUCCAACCAUGUGACAGCACAAGGCAAAAAGGAAGCAAUGACAGAUGUUGAAAUCGCACGGCCAUUUAAAACUGGCUUUUAUCAGCAAGUAAAAAUGUUAACAAUCAGAACUCAUAUUUUAAACGGACUUCAGGGAGGUACACGACAUCUGAAGCCCUAACCAGCUAAAGGUCAGUGUUCUUGAGCUGACCCUAACCUUUGACCAUGAUGACAGAAGAGGGGCGUGUUUCCAUCAAGAAAGCCAUAAAACACAGACACAACCUUGUCACAUCGCACAAAAAAUGGUAUGCAGACAAUUUGGUAUUAAGGCCCACCCAGGGUUCUCCUCAGUGUGAAGCAGAACCGACACCUGCACUGUCUACACAUGAUACAGCAAAGGUUGGACAGAGGACAGUGAUGAGAAGUGACAAGCAAACAGUCAGACCUCUGCAGGUGGGAGCCAACCCCACUGGCACUGAUUAGAUGGCUGCUGGAGGAGUGUAAAAUGGGGAGGUGCUUUUACACACUCACUGGCUUACCAGUUAAUUAGGGUUAUCUCAUGUUUGGACUCUUCUACAUUCAGAACUUCAAGGGGCAUUGGUGGAACAACAAAUAUUCUUAUGACAAUUAGGUCUGUUGAUGCUCUGAUACUGCACUGAGACCCUGUGAGCUUGAGUCCAAUUAACUAACAUUAACACCACAAAAGAGUGUGUGAACAGUUGACACAAGACAGGACAAAUGAACAGCUUUCAUGUAGAGAUGUCCAAAGUCUGACCCUCGUCCUGCCAGACUAGACUUGUCAGACCAAGUGAUGCAAACCAUGGUUCAUUUCAGCAUGGUAGACUUUCACUGUAGCCCAUCUGCUUCACCAUGGACAUGUUUUUCAGAGACACUCUUGCUCAAGUUGGUUGUAAUUAAUUUUUCUUCCCUAAUCAGCCUUGUUGUUCUCAUCGGACUUCUGACAUGGGUUGUUUUAAAGGGCCAUUUUUGGUCUUUUUCUGUAAACCCUAGGGGCCACUGCGUGGGAGAAACAUUGUCUGUGAAUAGUUUUUAAAUUCCUUUUCGGAACCCUUCCGGAAUCAGCAAGCAUGACGAAUUUGUAGUCAUUACUGUAAAACACAAUAGCCCACUCCUGUGUGAUAUGGCUCCUUAUCUAUGUGUGUAGUAGAAAGGGGAGUGUGUGUGUUGCUGUGUUGAAUGAUCAUGAAUAUCUAUGUACUUGCAGGGACAAUGAGAACCUGGAGCCUUGUGUCCUUUGAUUGUCCUGAACCUGAGCUUUAACACACAAUAGAAAUGUGUGAAUGACAGUCCUUCCACCAACUACCCCUCCUCACCCCCCGCGUUCCCUUUAAUUCAGACUGGAGCCACUGUAGAAGAUCACAAUACAAGACUCUUCCAAAUGUAACCAGGAUGGAGUAGGACGCAGCAGAUUGGACCCAGACUCACCUCCAGCGGGCUGACUCUUACGUAGAAAAUAAAGACGGUGUCAAAUGGUCGACAGGGAAGCAGGUCGAGAUAACUGAUGUCAUCAAAAAACCCUGGCAACGAUGACUCCAGACCAAUCAGAUGUGGAGGUAUUGGACGUCCCUCAGGAACAAACACCUGCUGUGGGAAGAAAGAGUGUGAGCUCACCCUCUGAUUGGCUCGAGCUCCUCUGGGUUGGUGGAAAAGCUGCAUGGUCCAGGCAUGUCUGCCAGCUGUACCUCGGAUCAAAACUGUUACUGAUGGACUGGGAUCUGAGAGAACAGAG